GACGAGACCAUUUUACAAUUCGGCCAUUGUAAAAUGGUGAAGAUGUUUUGGUUGUUUUACCAACAGGUUAUGGGCUUAUUAUGGCAAAUAUUAAAAUAUUUCAGCUGCUACCUGACGUGUACGACAUGUUACUUGGCGUAACUAAUUCUAUCGUGAUACUGAUAGUCAUAUCUCCACAUGAAUGACCAAGGCAUUUCUGCAUGCAUGAUAGUAUGUCAAAGUAUGAUUAUGAUACAAGGGUGACAAGGCAAUUCUGUGCUACACUAUACUAUAUUUGGUGAUGGCAGCGAUAUCAAAUUACCAUUGGAUCCACAUGAGAACCCAAUGUAUAAGCUGUUCUAUAUCCACCCAGAAAUGUGUGUCUAUGACAAGAAAAUACAAGCUUUUUUCAACUGUAUACUGUAAACCUCUGAAUAUAAUGCUCACCUCAUUCCAAAUAUAUGCCCCCCCCCCCUCAAAUAUAAGCCCCCUGAAUAUAAGUCCCCUGAAUAUAAGCCCAGUAUGUUAUUUAACAUUGACAUUGUCUUUUAAUAUAGCAGAGAACGAUAUUUAAAACACUGUCAUUGUCUUUAUAGCUUACUAUGUUAAUCGAAGUGUGUUAUUAAUACAUGUUUAUUUUCCUGUUUAUGACUGACUUGUUUAUUACUAAGACAAUUGAUUGUCCA